AAACAAAGUAUUGCGAUGCCCUGAAAGGAUGUUGACACAAUGUGAUUUCUGCCCAGUGCUCUGAAUGUCAAAGUGAGGAGAUUCAACUAAGCGCGGGUAAACGGCGGGAGUAACUAUGACUCUCUUAAGGUAGCCAAAUGCCUCGUCAUCCAAUUAGUGACGCGCAUGAAUGGAUUAAUGAGAUUCCUACUGUCCCAAUCUGCUGUCCAGCGAAACCACAGCCAAGGGAACGGGCUUGGGUGAGUCAGCGGGGAAAGAAGACCCUGUUGAGCUUGACUCUAAUCCGACUUUGUGAAAUGACUUAGGAGGAGUAGGAUAUGUGGGAGCUCAGGUGAUCUUGAAAUACCACUACUUUUAAUGUCACUUUACUUACUCUAUCCAACUGUGCCCUGCCUCACAGCAGGUUUUUGCUUUUAAGGUUGCUCUUUUGGCGUGUUGAUUUGCGUAGAAGACGUCGUCCGGUGGGGAGUUUGGCUGGGGCGGCACAUCUGUUAAAGGAUAACGCAGGUGUCCUAAGGUGAGCUCAAUGAGAACAGAAAUUUCAUGCGGAUCAAAAGGGGAAACGCUUGCUUGAUUUUGCUUUUCAGUGUGAAGAUAAACUGUGCAAACAUGGCCUAUUGAUCCUUUAGGGCUGAAGGAGGUUCAAAUAGAGGUGUCAGAAAAGUUACCACAGGGAUAACUGGCU
rnacentral:rRNA from 1 species